UGAGGAAUAUUGGUCAAUGGGCGCAAGCCUGAACCAGCCAUGCCGCGUGCAGGAUGAAGCAUCCAUGGUGUGUAAACUGCUUUUGUACGGGAAGAAACACCUCUACGUGUAGAGGCUUGACGGUACCGUAAGAAUAAGGAUCGGCUAACUCCGUGCCAGCAGCCGCGGUAAUACGGAGGAUCCAAGCGUUAUCCGGAAUCAUUGAGUUUAAAGGGUCCGUAGGCGGUUUUAUAAGUCAGUGGUGAAAUCCGGCAGCUCAACUGUCGAACUGCCAUUGAUACUGUAGAACUUGAAUUAUUGUCAAGUAACUAGAAUAUGUAGUGUAGCGGUGGAAUGCUUAGAUAUUACAUGGAAUACCCAUUGCGAAGGCAGGUUACUAACAAUUGGUUGACGCUGAUGGACGAAAGCGUGGGGAGCGAACAGG
rnacentral:rRNA from 1 species